UCGCAGCGGACAGAUGGGAGCUUGCUCCCUGAUGUUAGCGGCGGACGGGUGAGUAACACGUGGGUAACCUGCCUGUAAGACUGGGAUAACUCCGGGAAACCGGGGCUAAUACCGGAUGGUUGUUUGAACCGCAUGGUUCAAACAUAAAAGGUGGCUUCGGCUACCACUUACAGAUGGACCCGCGGCGCAUUAGCUAGUUGGUGAGGUAACGGCUCACCAAGGCAACGAUGCGUAGCCGACCUGAGAGGGUGAUCGGCCACACUGGGACUGAGACACGGCCCAGACUCCUACGGGAGGCAGCAGUAGGGAAUCUUCCGCAAUGGACGAAAGUCUGACGGAGCAACGCCGCGUGAGUGAUGAAGGUUUUCGGAUCGUAAAGCUCUGUUGUUAGGGAAGAACAAGUACCGUUCGAAUAGGGCGGUACCUUGACGGUACCUAACCAGAAAGCCACGGCUAACUACGUGCCAGCAGCCGCGGUAAUACGUAGGUGGCAAGCGUUGUCCGGAAUUAUUGGGCGUAAAGGGCUCGCAGGCGGUUUCUUAAGUCUGAUGUGAAAGCCCCCGGCUCAACCGGGGAGGGUCAUUGGAAACUGGGGAACUUGAGUGCAGAAGAGGAGAGUGGAAUUCCACGUGUAGCGGUGAAAUGCGUAGAGAUGUGGAGGAACACCAGUGGCGAAGGCGACUCUCUGGUCUGUAACUGACGCUGAGGAGCGAAAGCGUGGGGAGCGAACAGGAUUAGAUACCGCUGGUAGUCCACGCCGUAAACGAUGAGUGCUAAGUGUUAGGGGGUUUCCGCCCCUUAUUGGUGCAGCUAACGCAUUAAGCACUACUGCCUGGGAGUACUGUCGCAGGACUGUAUACUCAUAGAAUUAACAAGCGCGCCGCACAACCGUGGAGCAUGAUAGUUAAUUAAAAUCAUCGCACCAACGUUAUCACGGCGUUGACGUGCUCUGACAUCCUAGAGGAUAUGACGUGCACGUCA
rnacentral:rRNA from 1 species